rnacentral:rRNA from 1 species
UUUUUAGAGAGUUUGAUCCUGGCUCAGGAUGAACGCUGGCGGCGUGCCUAACACAUGCAAGUCGAACGGAACUUUUACGGA